UCUCCCAAACGCUCAGGCGUCGUAGGAUGUGGCUGCGGCCGAUUAGGUAGACGGUGGGGUAACGGCCCACCGUGCCGAUAAUCGGUACGGGUUGUGAGAGCAAGAGCCCGGAGACGGAAUCUGAGACAAGAUUCCGGGCCCUACGGGGCGCAGCAGGCGCGAAACCUUUACACUGCACGCAAGUGCGAUAAGGGGACCCCAAGUGCGAGGGCAUAUAGUCCUCGCUUUUUCCGACCGUAAGGUGGUCGGCGAAUAAGGGCUGGGCAAGACCGGUGCCAGCCGCCGCGGUAAUACCGGCAGCCCAAGUGAUGACCGAUAUUAUUGGGCCUAAAGCGUCCGUAGCCGGCCACGAAGGUUCAUCGGGAAAUCCGCCAGCUUAACUGGCGGGCGUCCGGUGAAAACCACGUGGCUUGGGACCGGAAGGCUCGAGGGGUACGUCCGGGGUAGGAGUGAAAUCCCGUAAUCCUGGACGGACCACCGAUGGCGAAAGCACCUCGAGAAGACGGAUCCGACGGUGAGGGACGAAAGCUAGGGUCUCGAACCGGAUUAGAUACCCGGGUAGUCCUAGCUGUAAACGAUGCUCGCUAGGUGUGGCACAGGCUACGAGCCUGUGCUGUGCCGUAGGGAAGCCGAGAAGCGAGCCGCCUGGGAAGUACGUCCGCAAGGAUGAAACUUAAAGGAAUUGGCGGGG
rnacentral:rRNA from 1 species